GACGAACGCUGGCGGCGUGCCUAAUACAUGCAAGUCGAACGCAGUGGGGACGGGUGAGUAACACGUGGGUAACCUCCCAUCAGAGGGGAUAACACGUGGAAACUGGUGCUAAACCCAUACGGAUGGAUCGACCCGCGGUGAAUUAGCCAGUUGGGGAGGUAACGGCUCAACAAGGCCGCGAUGCAUAGCCGAGCUGAGAGGGUGAUCGGCCACACGGGGACUGAGACACGGCCCAGACUCCUACGGGAGGCAGCAGUAGGGAAUCUUCGGCAAUGGACGAAAGUCUGACCGAGCAACGCCGCGUGAGUGAAGAAGGUUUUCGGAUCGUAAAACUCUGUUGUUAGAGAAGCGGUAUCUAACCAGAAAGCCACGGCUAACUACGUGCCAGCAGCCGCGGUAAUUC
rnacentral:rRNA from 1 species